GGAMGUUCAAGUCUGUCGUUAAAGAAUGGAGCUUAACUCCAUAAAGGCGGUGGAAACUGAACAACUWGAGUGCGGUAGGGGUAACGGGAAUUCCCAGUGUAGCGGUGAAAUGCGUAGAUAUUGGGAAGAACAUCGGUGGCGAAAGCGCGUUACUGGGCCGAAACUGACACUCAGGGACGAAAGCUAGGGUAGCGAAAGGGAUUAGAUACCCCUGUAGUCCUCGCCGUAAACGAUGGAUACUA
rnacentral:rRNA from 1 species